GCACCUUGUAGCAGGCGGCUCAAGGCUAAUGCUGGAGGAAGAGGGUGGAGGGAAGGAGCCAGGCAGCCAAGUUUCAGUGUGACCUCAGAAAGUGUGAACAGGGAUAGAGACUGCAACUCCACAGUGCCCCACCACUUCUGGGAACUGCAGCUUCUAGGAUGGACACAGGUCUCAGCCUCCUGCCAGAAAGAACGAGAUGAGAAUGUCCAUCACACCAGCAACUCUAAGCCACCUUUCUCUGUGAUGCUUUAAUUGAUGAUUAUUUAUUUUCCAUAAUAAUCUCAUUAAUUUUCUUCUGAAGAGUUAUCUUUUGUGUUUAUCAGCGAAAAAUGCCAGGAGCAGAUAAAUACUAUUAGAGAAAGCUACUCAGGCUGGGCCAGCUGCCAUGUAAUUGGACUGAGAUGAAGGAGGUUUGGGUUGGAAGCUCAGUGAUUUCUACAGCACUGAGGUCUUUCUGGGAAAGAACAUUCUCCUUUGGCCAGAGGAAUGGGAGGCUCAGGAGCCUUCUCAGUACCUUGAAGAACUACUAUCUUCAUCACCACCAUCCUCACCGCCAUCACCAUCACCAGCAUCACCAUUGUCAUCAUCUCUAUCAUCAUCAUCGCCAUCAUUUUUAGCAGCAGCAGCAGCAGUAUUGCCACCAUCAUGAUCGUAAUUAUCAACACUAUCAUCACCACCAUCACCAUCAGCAUCACGAACAUCAUCAGCAUAACUGUCAUCACUGCCACCAUUGCCAUCAUCAUCUCCAUCAUCAUCAUCGCCAUCACCAUCUUAAUUAUCAUCAGCACCAUCAUCGACACCAUCAUCAUUGUCAUCACUACAUUUACCAUGUAUCCACUCUAUAUCAGGUCCUCUAUUGUUUUACUCACAAGAUUUUCUAAAAAUAGCAUUCAAAGUCCAAAGCACUUUUUUUGUUAAAGAUUCUGUAAACUAACCUAAGUUAUGAAAAUAGAGGUACAUGCAGGAUACAUGAUGUUCACCAUCACAUAUGUAGCAUGCAACCAUGAACCCCCGUGACAUGCCAUCCACAGUUGCCAGAGUGGCUGGGAGACUCACAUGUGCACUGUGCAUGCGGGGAGCAGCUCUGAAGAUGGG
rnacentral:lncRNA from 1 species